rnacentral:rRNA from 1 species
GAUGAACGCUGGCGGCGUGCCUAAUACAUGCAAGUCGAGCGAACGGACGAGAAGCUUGCUUCUCUGAUGUUAGCGGCGGACGGGUGAGUAACACGUGGAUAACCUACCUAUAAGACUGGGAUAACUUCGGGAAACCGGAGCUAAUACCGGAUAAUAUUUUGAACCGCAUGGUUCAAAAGUGAAAGACGGUCUUGCUGUCACUUAUAGAUGGAUCCGCGCUGCAUUAGCUAGUUGGUAAGGUAACGGCUUACCAAGGCAACGAUGCAUAGCCGACCUGAGAGGGUGAUCGGCCACACUGGAACUGAGACACGGUCCAGACUCCUACGGGAGGCAGCAGUAGGGAAUCUUCUGCAAUGGGCGAAAGCCUGACGGAGCAACGCCGCGUGAGUGAUGAAGGUCUUCGGAUCGUAAAACUCUGUUAUUAGGGAAGAACAUAUGUGUAAGUAACUGUGCACAUCUUGACGGUACCUAAUCAGAAAGCCACGGCUAAUUACGUG